rnacentral:rRNA from 1 species
AUUGAACGCUGGCGGCAGGCCUAACACAUGCAAGUCGAGCGGAUGAAGGGAGCUUGCUCCUGGAUUCAGCGGCGGACGGGUGAGUAAUGCCUAGGAAUCUGCCUGGUAGUGGGGGAUAACGUCCGGAAACGGGCGCUAAUACCGCAUACGUCCUGAGGGAGAAAGUGGGGGAUCUUCGGACCUCACGCUAUCAGAUGAGCCUAGGUCGGAUUAGCUAGUUGGUGGGGUAAAGGCCUACCAAGGCGACGAUCCGUAACUGGUCUGAGAGGCUGAUCAGUCACACUGGAACUGAGACACCGUCCAGACUCCUACGGGAGGCAGCAGUGGGGAAUAUUGGACAAUGGGCGAAAGCCUGAUCCAGCCAUGCCGCGUGUGUGAAGAAGGUCUUCGGAUUGUAAAGCACUUUAAGUUGGGAGGAAGGGCAGUAAGUUAAUACCUUGCUGUUUUGACGUUACCAACAGAAUAAGCACCGGCUAACUUCGUG